AUGCUCGAGCUCUACUCCGGCGCGAUCAAGCUCGACGCCGUCGUCUUCUUCCUCGGGGAGCGACGCCCGCGUCUCCUUCUUCUUCUCGACCUCGCAAGCGCCCAUUCGAGCCACGGAUCGACCUCCUCCUUGACGUCUUCUUCCCCUGCUUCCUCUGCUUCAUCGACCCGAAGCCCCGCCAAGUCCCCGACGUCGACUACUUCCUCUACAUCACGGAUCAGACGCCAUCUCGCCUUCACGCCGUCGACCACGUCGCUACCUCCUCUGCUUCAUCUUCUUCACGGAGCCAAACGCCGCCAUGAUCAGCGGUCGUGCUUCCGACCUCCUCGUCUUGUCCUACGGGACCUAGUUGCAGGUACAGGUUUAUGCGAUGAUCAUGACGCAAGAGUGAUGCUUGCUUGCGUUGAGUUCUUCUUCUGCUUCUUCUUCGAUCAGGGGAUAGGUUCCAGGUCGGCAGCCUGGGCUAGCAGGGUGGAUGUCGUUUGA
rnacentral:rRNA from 1 species